ensembl:lncRNA
AGAAGAUCCAGGGCUGUUGAAGCUGCGGUGGAACUGAGACAUCAUCAUCCACAUAUCUUCAGUUCUUCUUGCUAAGAGAACGAGAAACUCGGACACAACAGUACAUCCUGACCAUUGGUACUGUGUACACAUCAACAUACACACACGUCUCCAUGCUGGACAUCUCAGGAGCUUUCACACAGUGCUAGGAAUAUCCCGGGACAGAGAAACGCACCUUCUAAGAACAGAAAUGAUCUUUCGAGGCAGCUUCUUCAUCACUACCUGCUCCGUUUGACUCAAAAAUGUAACGACCGGUUUCAAAAAGUCACGAUGUCUUCAGUUC